ACGUAACAAGGUCUCCGUUGGUGAACCWRCGSRGRGRWCAUUACCGAGUUUACAACUCCCAAACCCAAUGUGAACGUUACCAAACUGUUGCCUCGGCGGGGUCACGCCCCGGGUGCGUCGCAGCCCCGGAACCAGGCGCCCGCCGGAGGAACCAACCAAACUCUUUCUGUAGUCCCCUCGCGGACGUAUUUCUUACAGCUCUGAGCAAAAAUUCAAAAUGAAUCAAAACUUUCAACAACGGAUCUCUUGGUUCUGGCAUCGAUGAAGAACGCAGCGAAAUGCGAUAAGUAAUGUGAAUUGCAGAAUUCAGUGAAUCAUCGAAUCUUUGAACGCACAUUGCGCCCGCCAGUAUUCUGGCGGGCAUGCCUGUCCGAGCGUCAUUUCAACCCUCGAACCCCUCCGGGGGAUCGGCGUUGGGGAUCGGGACCCCUCACACGGGUGCCGGCCCCGAAAUACAGUGGCGGUCUCGCCGCAGCCUCUCCUGCGCAGUAGUUUGCACAACUCGCACCGGGAGCGCGGCGCGUCCACGUCCGUAAAACACCCAACUUUCUGAAAUGUUGACCUCGGAUCAGGUAGRWMUACCCGCUGAACUUAAGCAUAUCAUAG
rnacentral:rRNA from 1 species